rnacentral:rRNA from 1 species
CCUACGGGAGGCAGCAGUGGGGAAUAUUGGGCAAUGGGCGCAAGCCUGACCCAGCAACGCAGCGUGAAGGAAGAAGGCUUUCGGGUUGUAAACUUCUUUUUUCAGGGGCGUAGAAAGUGACGGUACCUGAGGAAUAAGCCACGGCUAACUACGUGCCAGCAGUCGCGGUAAUACGUAGGUGGCAAGCGUUAUCCGGAUUUACUGGGUGUAAAGGGAGUGUAGGCGGGAAAGCAAGUCAGAUGUGAAAACCAUGGGCUCAACCUGUGGACUGCAUUUGAAACUGUUUUUCUUGAGUACUGGAGAGGCAGACGGAAUUCCUAGUGUAGCGGUGAAAUGCGUAGAUAUUAGGAGGAACACCAGUGGCGAAGGCGGUCUGCUGGACAGCAACUGACGCUGAGGCGCGAAAGCGUGGGGAGCAAACAGGAUUAGAUACCCGGGUAGUC